GGGAAAGAACUACCGGAAUAUGGUUUGUUGUUGGUCUCCCUAAGACUAAGUCUUGGCAGCUGCAGUACUCCUAAUGUUGAGGGGCACGUGAGAACGUGGGCAAGCUUCACCAAUGUUCCUAUUGGAUUAAACACUGGAAAGCAAGAGCAGAAGCCGGAGUUAAGUAACAUCUGAAACUAAAGGACAGAGCUGUGCGUAGUGUGGACUGAAUAGGACCCCAGACAUGAUGGUGCCCUUUCCAGAGAACAGAAGAGUGAGGAUGGUUGUUGCGGCCACCACUCUUCGGAAGACGUAAAAUAUAUAUCGUCAAGAGCGGGCGAGUGUUUCCCAAAGAUCUGUGGCCUUGGAAGACUUCUCCUUAUUUAGAGAUGUUCUCAGAAUCUCCUGUUCCACAAGGAGAACCGUGGCAGGCUUCAGUCAGGUUUCAGCUUCAAGCUUGCCUCGGUCCCUCACACUCACUCCAUCACAAGGCGGCAGCAGCAAGAUCCUGCUGACGUGGUCGCAUUCCAUCAGCUGGAUCCCUGUGGACCAGAGCCAGGGCCAGCUGCAGCGUCCUGGCACUGAAAGACCGCCCCUGGCCCGUGUGAGAAGGUGUGCACAUGUGCCUUAUAGAAUACAAAGUCAGGACACAGUCUUGGAAGAAUUGCUGUUUCAUGCCAUAGUAGAACCAGGGAGUGGUGCAAGAAAAGGGAGCCUAUGACAGAUUGUGACAACAACCUUGAAAUAUUAAGAAUACAGGGCU